GAAUCUGAGGCAGGUUCCAGGCUCUGAGCUGUCAGCACAGAGCCCCACGUGGGUCCUGAACUCAUGAGCUAUGAGGUCAUGACCUGAGCUAAAGUCGGCCGCCCAACCAACUGAGCCACCCACACACCCCUAUGACUGCUAUUUUAAACAGACUAUUCUCGUCUGAUUGCUGAGGCUAGGACUUCCAACACAAUGUUGAACAACAGUGGUGAGAGUGGACAUCCCUGUUCUGUUUCUGACCUUAUGGGGAAAGCUCUCAGCUUUUCCCCAUGGAAGAUGAUACCAGCUGUGGAUCUUUCAUAUAUGGCCUUUAUGAUCUUGAGGGUUGUCAGUCUGUCCCCUUGUUGACACAACUGCAAACUGAAAAAAGGUGAAUUGCAUGCCAUCAAGAAGCCACGCUUCUGUUGGGAAGAGAGAACAAGGUAAUGGCUGGAUCUGCAGCAGACAUUUUGUGACCACAAGACAAGCAUAGAUAAGAAAAUGAACAUUCUGAGAUGACAAAGCAGAAAGGAAAAAAAGAUCCUAAUGGCAUCCUUGAGCAAGGGAACCAACACUACCAUCCAGGAACUCUGGAUAUCUUGUUUUAUAAAUAAAAUACAUCCCAAUGUUUAAGCGGUUUUUUAUGAACAUAUUCUUUUUUGCAGCCAAAUAUAUUCCUGAUACACCACGGGUUUUCCCCAAUUAGAUUUUCCUUACCAUCUGACCACACUCUUGCCUUGUUUUUCUCUGGCACUUGGUUUGACAGAGAAGUUCAACCUAACAUCCUGAAAACAGCCUGCCCCAAAUCUCUAUCCGUUUCCUUGCCAAUUGUAAUUACUACAUUCUUUUGCCUACUGCUUGCCUCCUGCUUCUGUCCUAGCAGCCAAUCUCAUCCCCCUUACCCUCUGCCUACUCCACAAGUUUGGGUAUGCUUAAAUGAUCCCAGCUUCAUAUUAUCUCCACCUCCCACACAGCUCUCAUCACACAAAAAGGUACUCCUUUCCAAUGUCUACCACCAUAGCCCCACCUUGGAACCUAAUUCAACCCUAUACCAUGACUUAUCUCACUUCAUCAAUAUUUACUGAGCCCAUGCUGCACGUACAUGUUGUGAACAUAAAAUGUACUCAUUAAAUGCGUGGACACUAAAGGUAGAGCAACUGGGUUCCAAUCCUACGACACCAGACAGUUAUUUAAACUCUCAAAGCAUCAAUUCCCCAUCUGUAAAGUAGGGACAAUAAUAUCAGAUACAUUCCUUAGGAUUUUCUGAGAAUUAAGUGAGCCCAUUCAUGUAAAAGUACUUAGCACAGUGUGUGACUCAUCACAAGAACUCAGCACACAAUUUAUGGACCAUGGCAUUUGCAAAGUUGUGUAACCUAGACUUCUGCAAUAAGGAACUUAAUAUCCAUAUGGGGGAAGUGCUAGGAAGCUAGUUAGCAAAUCUCAAUA